rfam:Rattus norvegicus chromosome 19, whole genome shotgun sequence.
UGGCUCAGUGGGUAAGAGCACUGACUGCUCUUCCAGAGGUCCUGAGUUCAAAUCUCAG